AAAUGAUAGUCAUAGUGAAUUAACAGAUAGAGGAAUUUCAGGAGAAAAAUAAAAACUAUUAAAAAAGGUAAAAUGAAAUUCUAAAACUGAAAAGCACAGUAUCUGAAAUGAAAAGUUCUCUGGAUAUGGCGAAAGGGUCAGUGAGCUCAAAGAACAAUCAACAGGAAAUAUCUGAGGAACAAAGAGAAAAAGGAUGAAGAAAAAUGAAGAUCAAAGAAGGGAAAAAAGAAAGAAAGAAAAGAAAGAAAGAGAAAGAAAAAAGUUAACUAAGAAUUCUAAGUAGAGAGAAAAUAACUUCCAAAAAUGACAGGUAAAUAAAGACAUAAAGAUCAGUGGAAGCUGAGAGAAUUCAUCACGAGCAGGCCUCCGUGUGGCAGAAGGAACAUAAGAAAGAUAUUCUUCACGUUGAAAGUAAAUGACAUCAUAUGACCAUUUGGGCCUACAGGAAGAAUUGAAGAGCACCUGAAAAAAGUCAAUACAAAAGACUGUGUUAGUUUCCUACUGUGGCUGUAAGAAAUUACCACAAAGUCAGUGGCUUAAAAACUUAUCUUAAACUCUGCAGGUCAGAAAUCUGAAUUGGGUUUCACUGAGCUAGAAUUACGGUUUCAGGAGGGCCAUGUUCCUUCUGGAGGGUUAGAGCAGAAUCCAUUUCCUUGCUUUUCCCAACUUCUAGCGGCCUGCAUUCCUUGGCUUGUGGCCCCAUUUCUCCAUCUGCAAAGCCAACAAUGUCAAAUCGAGUCUUUCUCAUGCUGCUAUUUUUAUUGGUUCUCUUCUGCCUCCCUUUCUCCAUUUUAGGGAUCCCUGUAAUUACAUUGGGCCUAGUUGGAUAAUCCAAGAUAAUAUCCUUAUCUUGAGGUCAGUUGAUUAGCCUCCUUAAUUCCCUCUACUAUCAUAAUUCCCCUUUGCCAUGUAACCUAACAUAUUCACAAAUUCUGGGGGUUAGGAAAUGGAUACAUUUUUGGGGGCCAUCAUUUUGCAUCCCAUGAAACUUUUUUUUUCUCUUAAUUUAUUUAAAUAACAACUAUUAAUGUAAAAAUUAUAACAUAGUCUUGUGGUAUUUAUAAAUAAGUAGAUAUAAAAUGUAUGAUAGCAAUAGACAAGGAGUGGAGG
rnacentral:lncRNA from 1 species